rnacentral:rRNA from 1 species
GAUGAACGCUGGCGGCGUGCCUAAUACAUGCAAGUCGAGCGAACGGACGAGAAGCUUGCUUCUCUGAUGUUAGCGGCGGACGGGUGAGUAACACGUGGAUAACCUACCUAUAAGACUGGGAUAACUUCGGGAAACCGGAGCUAAUACCAGAUAAUAUUUUGAACCGCAUGGUUCAAAAGUGAAAGACGGUCUUGCUGUCACUUAUAGAUGGAUCCGCGCUGCAUUAGCUAGUUGGUAAGGUAACGGCUUACCAAGGCAACGAUGCAUAGCCGACCUGAGAGGGUGAUCGGCCACACUGGAACUGAGACACGGUCCAGACUCCUACGGGAGGCAGCAGUAGGGAAUCUUCCGCAAUGGGCGAAAGCCUGACGGAGCAACGCCGCGUGAGUGAUGAAGGUCUUCGGAUCGUAAAACUCUGUUAUUAGGGAAGAACAUAUGUGUAAGUAACUGUGCACAUCUUGACGGUACCGAAUCAGAAAGCCACGGCUAACUACGU